rnacentral:rRNA from 1 species
CCUACGGGAGGCAGCAGUGGGGAAUMUUGGACAAUGGGCGCAAGCCUGAUCCAGCCAUGCCGCGUGAGUGAAGAAGGCCCUCGGGUUGUAAAGCUCUUUUGUCCGGAAAGAAAAGCACUUGGCUAAUACCCAGGUGUCCUGACGGUACCGGAAGAAUAAGCACCGGCUAANUUCGUGCCAGCAGCCGCGGUAAU